AUGGCCGCCGCCACCGAGCAGCUCCUCCUCCCCCAGGAGCAGCCCCGCCGCCGCCGACCGGUAUGGGGGCUUGCCGUCGCUGCCCUACUGCUGGUGCUGCUGCUCGCCGCCGCCGGCCCUCUCCGUCCUAGGCUGUUCCGCACGCCGCCGCCAGCAGAGCGCGUCGCGCUCACCCUCCUCUCCGGCGCGAAGGAGAAGGGCGCAGUGUGCGUGGACGGAACACCGCCCGGUUACCACCUGCAGAGGGGCUCCGGCGACGGCGCCGACCGUUGGCUCGUCCAUCUAGAGAGAGAGACCCGGCUCCUAACUUCUGUCGCCAUCAAGCACAUGCCUCCCUGUGUCACCUUUUUCUUUUCUAUAAAAAAGGGAGGAGGCUGGUGCAGCACAGUCAAGGAAUGUUCGGACAGCAGACUGUCCACCAAAGGUUCAUCCAACUUCAUGAAACCGAUUCGGUUCAUGGGUAAUGGGAUCCUCGGCGGCGAUCAGCUACAGAAUCCUGAUUUCUAUAACUGGAACAAAGUCUACGUUCGGUACUGCGAUGGGGCGUCGUUUUCUGGUGACGCUGAAGCUCAAGCACAGGAUGGAACCACACUAUACUUCAGAGGAUUGCGUAUCUAUGAAGCAGUUAUCGACGAACUCAUGGAAAAAGGACUCGCCAAUGCUACACAGGCCCUCUUUACAGGCUGUUCUGCUGGUGCUCUAUCCAUGAUGCUGCAUUGCGAUGAUUUUCGUGCAAGAUUUCCGCAGGAGGUUUCAGUUAAAUGCUUUGCGGAUGCUGGGUUUUUCCUUGAUGAAAAGGAUAUAUCCGGAAAAAGGUCCCUUUGGUCUCUCUACGACAGAGUCAUUCACCUCCAGAAUGUUAGAAAAGUGUUGCCCAAGGAUUGCCUUGCCAACAAGGAGCCAACCGAGUGUUUCUUCCCGGCAGAGCUUAUUAAGAGCAUCCGCACCCCCAUGUUUAUUCUCAACCCUAGUUAUGAUUCAUGGCAGAUACGAAAUGUUCUUGUACCUGAUUCAUCUGCUCCUGACAAGUCGUGGUUGAGUUGCAAGGAAAAUAUCCGAAACUGCAAUUCUACACAAGUUGAAGUCCUCGAUGGAUUGAGGAAUAAGAUGGUCAAUGACUUGAAGGUCGUCGAAGACAAGGAGGACUGGGGCAUGUUCAUCGAUUCAUGCUUCACGCACUGCCAAUCGCUCUCCGGCGUCUCUUGGCAUUCGCCAACCUCCCCGAGGCUUGAAAAUAAGACCAUUGCAGAAGCUGUUGGAGACUGGCACUCUGGAAGGAGCCAAGGAGCGAAAGAGAUUGACUGCAAGUAUCAGUGCAACCCAACAUGCAAUAGUUUGCCGCCUCCACGGGAUGUAACUGCAUUCAACCGUGUCGAGAUCUACUAA
rnacentral:rRNA from 1 species